rnacentral:tRNA from 1 species
UCACAUUCCAUAUCAUUAUCCUUACAUUUAUUAGAUAAAAUUUUUUAAUACUUUACUUUAUUUAAUACUUUACUUUAUUUAGAUUUAGUCCCUUUAAUUGACAUAGAUACAAGUACUCUACUAGGAUAAUGCACGGGAAAUGGUCGGGAUAGCUCAGUUGGUAGAGCAGAGGAGU